CAACAGGUGAGUGUUCGUCUGAGCAGACAGUCAGAACGAAUGUGUGCGCUAGAGUAUUUAGGCCUAUAUUAUUUUAUUUAUAUUUUCGUUAUUUGAAUUAGUUAAUUAUAUUCAUUUAAAUCGUUUGAUGAUUCAUUGUUUAUAUAUUUUUAUUAAUAGAUUCGGCUUUUCUGAUAUGCGAACGAACCAUCACUAACAGUUAUUAGAGGAAACUUACCAGGGAUAUAUCAGGACAGCAGGAGUUGAAAGGAGUAGGCCUACCGGCCUGUAACCUCUCCAGCGGCGGUGGGCAAAUAUCAACAACUUUAUGAAAAUACCCAUUUUGUGACGUGAAUGUCCAUCUGGCUGAACGGGGGAUGACCAUGGAGAACGCAGCAAGUGUUUCCCCACAGACAUGUGCAUUGAGAGAGCUCCUAUUUGAAGUGGAUGGUUGAAUGGAGGACCUGAGCCCUAGGACCAUGCCUUAGGACUACCUGGCCCAAUGACUCCUUGCUGUCCCCAGUCCACCUGGUCAUCUUGCUGCGCCAGAUUCAACUGUUCUGCCUGCGGCUAUGGAACCCUGACCUGUUCACUGGACGUGCUACCUUGUUCCUUGACCUGCUGUUUUGGACUACCUCUCUACCACACCUGCUGUCUCUAACUCUGAAUGAUUGGCUAUGAAAAGCCAACUGAUAUUUACUCCUGAGGUGCUGACUUGUUGCACCCCCUACGAACACUGUAAUUAUUAUUAUCUGAUCCUCCUGGUCAUCAAUUAACGUUUGAACAUCUUGGCCAUGUUCUGUUAUAAUCUCCACCCGGCACAGCCCUGAAUGACAGGUCACCACUGCAUAUAGGCCAUCGAUAGGCCUACUCUGUUAGCUACAUGACAACAUUGAUAAUCACCACAACUAAGUGUUUUAAACCACUGUGAAUCAGUUUGUAAAAUAUCGGAGCCCUAUGACCAUGAAUAUUAGGCGAAGUGGUCUUGCACAAAUGAAGUCAAACCGAUCCAGAACUAUUCACAACCUCUGGCUGAGGAUGCCCUAUCGCGCAGGAAAACAGCUGAUCCAACCAAGAGGUAACUGAGUUUGAAAUGUUUGAGACUGCGCUAAACAAUUGUACCGGCUACUUUUAACUUGCAACCUGAUUUUCAAAUGAACGUUUAAGUAACUUUGAUAUGUCUGCCUUGCCUAAGAAGUUGGAGAAUGUGUCAAAUAAAAAUGCAGAUAAACGCUAAAACAAAAGUUCCACGGAUUGUCUACGCAUAGGAGGAGUAAAUAGCAUUGUUAUUCUGCCCUACACGGUAUCAAGAACACAGAUCAUACUCAAAGUCCAUGAAUGGGAAUUAAUGGACGAGAAUGAGCACAUAAAAUUGCUGAUGGCAAUCAUUGUCACAUGGUUUGGGCUGCAUCUGGAACCAGGGGUGCAACUAGUUUUAGAAGUCGGGGGACAUAACCUGGUGGGGGUCCUCCCUCACAUUUUUGGGUACAUCUAAAGCUAAUUUCCUCAAUUUCUACUAAGGCUGUAGCAGACAAAAAAAAAACCUUGGUCGAGAAAGAGUAGUCUUUUCUUUCGACCAAAUGAUUGCCAAAUAACAAUGUGAUUCACAUUUUCAAAUGGUCCAUUUAUAUUUCUCAACGGGGCUAUACAUUUUUGGGUGAUGUUUUUUUCUUGCCCGAGUAAGUAUCUGGUGUUCAGCGAAAUAACAACAAUGUUUAAUACAGGAGGCCUAGUCAAAUAAUUAACAUCUAAUAACAUGAACCAUUACUCUCUCGCGGGAAUUCCACUACCGAUCUGUAUGUAGCCAAACAAAAGACAAAUAAAUUGACAAAAUUCGUAAAUGGAAUGAAAAAAGUGUAGCAUAGGUUGAGUUCUGCAAAACACUGUGUCCACUCUGACAAUGAGAAUGGUAAAUGACUGUAAUAAUAUUGAAUGCAUUAACAGAAAUUAUCGUAACCAAACAAACAUCUUAAGAUUAGACAUUCUGGGAAUUAACGGUAAAUGUAGGCUAAUGCUAGUGAUAUAUGUAACGGGGAUUUGAUAGACACAGCAGACAAUGCACACAAUGAAGUUAUGAAACAAUGAAUGCCCACGAAAUGGCUCCUCAAUGGAUUUCACAGCGGACUCCUCAAAGGAUUAGUCCACUGAGACAGGG